GUAACAAGGUUUCCGUAGGUGAACCUGCGGAAGGAUCAUUAACGAAGAACUCACACUUCUUCUCAUACACCCUGUGAACCGUCGUCUUCGGACGCUCAUACAUACUCUUGUGUUGUCAUUGAAUGUCAUUGUUUUCGAACAAAUAAAUCAUAACUUUCAGCAACGGAUCUCUUGGCUCUCGCAUCGAUGAAGAACGCAGCGAAAUGCGAUAAGUAAUGUGAAUUGCAGAAUUCAGUGAAUCAUCGAAUCUUUGAACGCACCUUGCGCUCUCUGGUACCCCGGAGAGCAUGCCUGUUUGAGCGCCUUAACAGCGUUGUGCGCCUGCUUCGGCAAGCGCGCAGAGUUGGGCCGUGCCGGCCUUGUCCGGCUCGCCCUGAAUGCAUGAGCGACCGCCCUUGCGAACUAACGUGAUAAGAUCGUCGUUAGUGAGCGUGGUCUUGGCUGCUUCAAACCGUCCUCGGACACUUCAUCAUGCUAGGCAUCAAAUCAGGUAGGAUUACCCGCUGAACUUAAGCAUAUCAA
rnacentral:sRNA from 1 species